UACGGAGGGGGCGAGCGUUAUUCGGAAUUAUUGGGCGUAAAGGGCGCGUAGGCGGCCACGCACGUCCGUUGUGAAAUCGCCCGGCUCAACUGGGCGGGGUCAGCGGAUACGGCGCGGCUGGAGCAAGCUAGGGGGCAAUGGAAUUCCCGGUGUAGUGGUGGAAUGCGUAGAUAUCGGGAGGAACACCAGUGGCGAAGGCGGUUGCCUGGAGCUUUGCUGACGCUGAUGCGCGAAAGCGUGGGGAGCGAUCCGG
rnacentral:rRNA from 1 species